ensembl:lncRNA
CACUUGCUUCUGAGUCCAAGAGACUUCCCUCCUGAGGGUCAUUCCAGAACGAACCUCGUCAGAGAUUUGGGUAGUAGCUGGGGCAGAUGUUUUGUUUUGGGUUUUGUUCUGUAGGCUGCACUUUGUUUUAUAAUCUCUUAGAGGGAAGUGUCUGAAAGAAAGGGCUUCAAGUGUUCUUUUUGCUUCUGUGAUAGCAGACUACUCAGAACUGCUGAACCAAAUCCGCUUGCUGCUCAAGAGACUCCACAUCCAAUUUCCUGUUCCCCUGUGUGUCUUGGGGUCAGGCCAAGGCUUCAGGGGGACAAGUGAGAGCCCCUGGCUCCUCAGAGUUCAGCCCAAGGUCUGGGUGGCUCCUCAGCAGACAGCCUGGGGCUCCUUCCGUGGGGCAUGAGUCCCUCCGUGGCCGUGAGUUGGGUGAGGAGGAGCCUUAACCUCUGGCCGGCCCUGUCUCUUCUGCUGCCCCGGCCUUGGCCUUACAGCUACGCAGCCCUCUCCUGGUUCUCCCACUGGAUCAUCUGGUUGUACUGUCAGUUCUCCAGGUAGGUGGUCAGCUCCAUGUCCUGAGCCUUCGCAGCCUGUUACUGGGGAGUGUCACCUGUUGGUCUGUCUUCAGGAGCGAGAUCCCCGCCUCCAUGAUGUUGUGGCAGAUGGUGUGCUGGCCCAGGGACUCCGCCUGGUCCAGACAGCUCUCCCAGUUUUCCUCCUCAGCAUCAGGCAUCUCUGGGACUGGUGGUCCAGCAGGUACUGGAUCACUUCUUUGCUGCGUGUGCUGACCGUGCGGUGCCUGAGGUCACUCCCAGCUGGGUGCAGCUCCUGGAGCUUACGGAAGUCAUUCCUUUUGGCCGCCUCAAUCAGCUCUUCACCUUUAGGGGGUGUAGCAUCCGCUGGCAGUGACUGGGGCAUGGGCGAGCAGGAUGAGGUGGGAGAGCGGAAGUGGGGAUUGGAGGUCAGGCCAGCAAAUGCCCCCAGCAGCUCUGGGUCUAGGAUAUAAAUCUCAUCCAGUGAGAUCUCAGUCACACAGUUGAGAUGUUCCUGGGCCUGGUUCAUCCUGUAGAAGGAGGUGGUAGUGGUGGCAUCCAGGAAGCACCACUUGGGGGACAGUUUCUGGCACACUGGGGACUUGGCUUCAGCACAUUUGGGCUCCUGCUGGAGCCUCUCAGUGUGGGUGGACAAAGCUCUACGUUGCUGUCUCCUGGGAUCACCACAGUGCCCAAUGACACAGAGGACUCUAAGCGGCUCCUUGUAAUGCAAGGCCUCAUAGUCGUGCAUGCUGACUCUGCUUACAUGGAUCAGCGGUUGCUCAACGUGGUACUGCUCAGCCCUGGAAGGCACGCCACCACUCAGCCUUCUGCACCCUGGUGACCUGGUUGUGCAUGGUGAUGCAAAUGCGUGAGGCUGUGAGUUGCAGGGCUGGCCAUCCACAUGCACCUGCACCGGGAUGGCCUUGGAUGUGGUGAGCACCACCUUGCGGCACUGCGUCAGCCACUCACUGAGCCCACCCACCUGCAGCCCAGCCAGGGACAUCAUGGUGAAGCCAAUGACCCCUCGGUAGCCAUCGCCAUGCAGCUGGGGUGGGAAGAGAUGGUGCUCCGCAGGGUGGCCCCAGGGCGUGGUUCCUGUGCAGUACCUGGGAAUGUUCAGGAAAACAGUGCACUGGGGCUUCAGCUUUUGAGCACCAAAUUCUUCUGAAAGACCCCACAUGGCCAAAGAGUAAGCACCCAGAUCCUCACUUUGUUUUCGAUGUGCAGGCACAGCCCAUUAAGGAGAGAGAGCAUUCAAAACCAACUUCUUGAAGGAACUUUGAAAUUCGAAGGAAUUCUAACUGAGAUGAACAUUUUUCCUUCCUUGUAAACUCUUUAUACUAAGGUCAUAUAGCUCAUGGCCACAAUCAGUAAGUUUUUCUAAAGGAUCUUGAGCCCACCCAGUAUAACGUCUCUACAUGCAUCCGGUCAGCCCUUCUGAGGAGCACCGGUAAUCGACUUUCUACCUCUGCUGAGUCAAGAGAAUUUACAGCAGGGUCCAAGUAGCUCCUGAUCUACAUUUCAUGUCAUCAGAAGAGAUGUGAGCUGCAGCAGCAGUGUGUCAAAUGUCACAGUGAAAUAGAAGGGCUCCUCGAUUCAUGAACCCACUGAGGCAAUCCCUGUAUCUUCAGUACCAGCAGAGCAACACAAGACACGUAAUAAGUCGUCAGUAAACGUUUACUGAAGGAGCCAAUGGUGGCCAGCCUAUGCGGACUUACAGUGCCUGGAAAUGGAGUGGAGAAGAAAUAAGAGAUCUGAGAAAAAUAACCAUUUCCCUUUUUUGCACUAAUUAGGAAUUUGGGAAGUGUUCUCUAUUCUUUUCUGCAAAAUACCUUGAAGGCACUGCCUAGUCUUGUGUUCUAUCAGUUCUAGAGGAGAGUUCAGGGGAAUGACUUGCUUUGAGGAGUUACUCUGGGUGGACUGAAGCUCCAGUUAUCUCUGGGACUCUUGGAAUUCACUCUGGGCUGAAUCCUGUUUCUUAACUUUGUCCUGACAUGAUCCACUUCCUCCAGGACUCGCUUGUGGUCAACCUAGGACUAAGGUUCAGGAAUGCCCAGAUCUAUUCAACUGUCAUUCUUUAGGCGUGCCAUCUAGGUUCAGAUCUAGGGUGUGUAUGUGUGUUUACAUGGAGAGAGAGGGAGAACAGGGAGACAGAGAGAGGGGGGACAGAGAGAGAGGCAGAGAUAGCUUAAUAUCAUUUUUCAUUCUCAUGCUCUCUCCUUCACUCACUCUGUUUUCUUGGUGUUUGGAAAAGAAUUGGGGUGGGGCAGGGGCAGGGGUGGAGAAUUCCAGAUGCCUUAAUAUAAAGUUUGAAGCUUCAUCCACCCAAGUUAAACAGAGCUAUUUAGAAAUGUACUUUAUUUGUAUUCUGUGUGGCUUACCUUUGGUUUUAGAGUUUAGUUUCCAGUUCAGAUUUCAGCAGAAUUUAGGCAAAAGCAGAACAGACAUGUAUUUUUGUUUGCUAAAUGUAGAAUGGAUGAAACCAUUGCAUUCUUGUAGACUAAUUGGAAAUGCUGUAAAUAUGUUCUGAUUUGUAUUGAUUCUCUUUAAAUAUAAAGUGUUCAAUCAUAUUUAUUGCACAUAUUUAAUCCACACAAAAGUUUUAGACUAAGGUUUAGAAUACUGAAGUAGUUUGCUUGAUCACACAGCUAAUAAAUGGCAGAAGUGUAUCGAAAUUUGGGUCCUUGUAACUCUAAACAAGUCUUCGUAAGUUGUAUGAGCUUUUAGGUUAAACUGCUUGUAAAAAUCCAACUUGAAAAUAAUUGCUUUAUGGAUGCCACUUUCUUCUUUUUCCUUUUACGUGGAAAUGGAUAGUGAAACCAAUGACCAGCGUCAUGUGUUGUUAUGGAAUAAAUGGAUGUCAUGUUAGGUUUCCUAUCUGGAAGCUGGAUGCAGCCUUAAGCUGGGACUAACUCACUCUCAUCAAUCAACUCUUGGAGAACAGAGACUAUAUACUUUAUUUUAUUUUUUUCGGAACCAAAUCUGAUUAACAAAUAUUGGCUCUCAACGAGAGGUUUCUGCUAUUAAUUCAUAAUUAAAAUGAUGAUCCUCCUCACCCCUUCUAUUCUUUUUUCCCCAAUCCCUCUUAUUUUCUUAUUCUUUUUAUCUUGCCGAAAUUGUCUGAUGGAAAAUUGUUUUGGAGGGAAUAAAAACUGGUCAAAAAAUA